GUGUUUGCCAGGCCCCGACAUAGUCUCACAAGAGACAGCUACAUCUGGGUCCUUUCGAUAAAAUCUUGCUAGUGUAUGCAAUGGUGUUAUAAGUACCGCGCGCUAACCGAUUGCGCCACUGGAGCUCCCAAAAACAUCUCUUAAUGUUGAUGCUGCCAGGGGCUACUUGAAUAAGUAAAUCAGGCUUGGGGCUGGAGUCUAUGUCCACUCUGGUAUCAGGAGUCACUGCUGUGCCUUCAUGGGGUUUCAUAAGACCAGUAUGCCUACUAAUGGAAGACUGAGGUUCCUGAAGAGAAGCCCCUGUCCACUGGGAAUCAGCACUUGUUGUCUUUUUAGGGGCGCUUAGCAUAACCUAGGUUCACUUGGGAAGAGGGACCCUCAAUUGAAGAGCUGCUUUGAUCAGGAUGCUAUGGCCAUGUCUGGGAGAGAUUGUUCAGACUGAUGAAUGACAUGAGCGGGGCCAACUCUAGGCAGGUGGACCUGGCCUUUAUAAGAAAGCUAUGAGCCACUUAGGGAUCUGGUAAGUACUGUCUCCUUAGUUUCUGCUUCAGUCCCCGCCCUGAAUUCCUUCAGUCAUGGACCGUAACCUGGAAGCAUAAGCCAAGUAGAUCUCUUCUUCCUGCAUCCAGUCAGAGUAGAAGAGCAAAAUACAGCGCUCAUCUUCUACGGGUAGACAGCAAGCAGGAUGCUCACUCCAUGGCAGCCCUGGAACAAGGCCACACUGUUGGGUCCUUGCUCACUUCCUCCCAACCACCAUGCCAGGGGAGUCCCCUACAUGCUGGUGGUCCCCUGCAGUAGUUCAUGUCCCCAGCAGACACAGAGGGAACACUAAGCUUUUCUUGGAUAGCUCCGCUGCCCACAGAGCUCUCUUUUCUCAUCUUCCUUCCUACCUCUCUGCUUUCUAGCCUCUGACCAGCAACCUGAGCAAGGAUCAUACUGCCUAAGCCUUUCCCAUGUGAAUGUUGGUGCUCCUUCCAGAGAGGAUUUCCAGUGAUACUGAACCCCCUCCCAGGGUCACCCCUUAACUGGAAUAUGGAGUGCACUCAGAAUUUCCUGCUUCAGAACCUCGUAAGCUGACAAGUUCGAGAGACGGUCUCUAUGCGUUGGUAGUGAGAGAUGAAAGAGAUGCUUCAUCUCUACGUUCACACUGAAACCACCUCACAGGUUUGCCUGUCUGGAAAAGCCUCUGAAAGAAGUGAGGAGGGGCUAGCCUGGUUUUGCACAUUUACCAUUUGGUUAUUUUUGUUUGUUUGUUUGGUUGGUUUGGUUUUUGCUUUUGUUUAUUCAAGACAAGGUCUCUCUGUGUAGCCCUGGCUGUCCUGGAACUCACUCUGUAGACCAAGCUGGCCUUGAAUUCACAGAAUUCUGCCUGCCUCUGCCUCCCAAGUGCUGGGAUUAAAAGUGUACACCCC
rnacentral:lncRNA from 1 species